rnacentral:rRNA from 1 species
CCUACGGGCGGCAGCAGUGAGGAAUAUCGGUCAAUGGACGAGAGUCUGAACCAGCCAAGUAGCGUGAAGGAUGACUGCCCUAUGGGUUGUAAACUUCUUUUAUAUGGGAAUAAAAUGUUCCACGUGUGGGAUUUUGUAUGUACCAUAUGAAUAAGGAUCGGCUAACUCCGUGCCAGCAGCCGCGGUAAUACGGAGGAUCCGAGCGUUAUCCGGAUUUAUUGGGUUUAAAGGGAGCGUAGGUGGAUUGUUAAGUCAGUUGUGAAAGUUUGCGGCUCAACCGUAAAAUUGCAGUUGAAACUGGCAGUCUUGAGUACAGUAGAGGUGGGCGGAAUUCGUGGUGUAGCGGUGAAAUGCUUAGAUAUCACGAAGAACUCCGAUUGCGAAGGCAGUUCACUGGACUGCAACUGACACUGAGGCUCGAAAGUGUGGGUAUCAAACAGGAUUAGAUACCCUUGUAGUC